UGGAGAGUUUGAUCCUGGCUCAGGACGAACGCUGGCGGCGUGCUUAACACAUGCAAGUCGAACGAUGAAGCCUUUCGGGGUGGAUUAGUGGCGAACGGGUGAGUAACACGUGGGCAAUCUGCCCUUCACUCUGGGACAAGCCCUGGAAACGGGGUCUAAUACCGGAUAACACUCUGUCCCGCAUGGGACGGGGUUAAAAGCUCCGGCGGUGAAGGAUGAGCCCGCGGCCUAUCAGCUUGUUGGUGGGGUAAUGGCCUACCAAGGCGACGACGGGUAGCCGGCCUGAGAGGGCGACCGGCCACACUGGGACUGAGACACGGCCCAGACUCCUACGGGAGGCAGCAGUGGGGAAUAUUGCACAAUGGGCGAAAGCCUGAUGCAGCGACGCCGCGUGAGGGAUGACGGCCUUCGGGUUGUAAACCUCUUUCAGCAGGGAAGAAGCGAGAGUGACGGUACCUGCAGAAGAAGCGCCGGCUAACUACGUGCCAGCAGCCGCGGUA
rnacentral:rRNA from 2 species